UCUAACCCAGACAUGGAUUCUGUUAAUUCUGCUGUAUCUUCCUUAUGAAUUACAAUUACUUCUUCCCAUUCCCCAUAGCACACACAGCACCCCCAAUCUAAAUGCCACUGGACUAGGAUACAGUUCUGUAAACAAGAAGAUUCCGCAGGACUCAGCCUACCAGAGAGUUCCUAAGGGUUCUGUUUUAUGACAUCCAAAAUGAAGAGAAUUAUUCUCCUCCCACAUAGUAGCUCUGAUUCCGUUGCCUUUGAGCUGGCAAGAUGCCUGUGUCUACUCUUCCAUCAAUGAUUCUCUCUCAAAUGAUAGCUACGAGUAAUGUGCAUCCUCCUCCACUUCACAGCAUACCAACUGGAGUUCCUGCACUGCUGUAUCAGCUCACAGUGCAUUUGUAAAGCAGUAUCCUAAAAUAUUCCUGCACAAAAAAAUCAGAUUACCUAAAAUUUUCACACAGGAGCCAAAAAGAAAACCUAGUGAAGCUACAGAAGGAAGUCAAUACCGACUUGAAGAUUCUCACAACAUAGCUGUUCAUGUUAAAAAAGCACAUAGUGGCUAUGCUUUAUAUGGACAAAAAGGAUCCACAGAAACUUUUGAAGAAUUUCUUCAUAUUGUAAAGAAAUUGUAAGUAUUUUUAAUGUGUUACUACUUGUAUUUCAAUAAUUCUUUAUAAUAGCUUUAAAAAUGUUAGUUAUUUGCAGACAAGUGCUAUAUA
rnacentral:lncRNA from 1 species